GCCUUUGUAGCUCAGUGUUAGAGCGCUGGUCUAUUAAACCAGGCGUCGUGAGUUCAAUCCUCAUAAGAGGCA